rnacentral:rRNA from 1 species
AUUGAACGCUGGCGGCAUGCCUUACACAUGCAAGUCGAACGGCAGCAUGGGUGCUUGCACCUGAUGGCGAGUGGCGAACGGGUGAGUAAUGCAUCGGAACGUACCCGGAAGUGGGGGAUAACGUAGCGAAAGUUACGCUAAUACCGCAUAUUCUGUGAGCAGGAAAGCGGGGGGAUCGCAAGACCUCGCGCUUCCGGAGCGGCCGAUGUCGGAUUAGCUAGUUGGCGGGGUAAAGGCCCACCAAGGCAACGAUCCGUAGCGGGUCUGAGAGGAUGAUCCGCCACACUGGGACUGAGACACGGCCCAGACUCCUAUGGGAGGCAGCAGUGGGGAAUUUUGGACAAUGGGGGCAACCCUGAUCCAGCCAUGCC